rnacentral:rRNA from 1 species
UACGGAAGGCAGCAGUGGGGAAUAUUGCACAAUGGGCGCAAGCCUGAUGCAGCCAUGCCGCGUGUAUGAAGAAGGCCUUCGGGUUGUAAAGUACUUUCAGUCAUGAGGAAGGUGUUAAGGUUAAUAACCUUAGCAAUUGACGUUAGCGACAGAAGAAGCACCGGCUAACUCCGUGCCAGCAGCCGCGGUAAUACGGAGGGUGCGAGCGUUAAUCGGAAUUACUGGGCGUAAAGGGCACGCAGGCGGUUAAUUAAGUUGGAUGUGAAAUCCCCGGGCUUAACCUGGGAAUGGCAUUCAAGACUGGUUAGCUAGAGUCUUGUAGAGGGGGUAGAAUUCCAUGUGUAGCGGUGAAAUGCGUAGAGAUGGUGGAGGAAUACCGGUGGCGAAGGCGGCCCCUGGGACAAAGACUGACGCUCAUGUGCGAAAGCGUGGGGAGCGAAACAGGAUUAGAU